rnacentral:rRNA from 1 species
UACGUAGGGUGCAAGCGUUAAUCGGAAUUACUGGGCGUAAAGAGCGCGCAGGCGGUCGAUUAAGUCGAGUGUGAAAGCCCCCGGCUCAACUGGGGAGGGUCACUUGAUACUGGUCGACUCGAAGGCAGGAGAGGGAAGUGGAAUUCCCGGUGUAGCGGUGAAAUGCGUAGAUAUCGAGAGGAACACCUGCGGCGAAGGCGGGUUGCUGGGCCGACACUGACGCUGAGGCGCGAAAGCCAGGGGAGCGAACGGG